rnacentral:rRNA from 1 species
AGCUCCAAUAGCGUAUAUUAAAGUUGCUGCAGUUAAAAAGCUCGUAGUUGCAUUUCCGAGGCAAGGGAUUAGUCCGACCUUUGGUGGGUAUUUAAUCCUCUUGCCUCGUCCUUGAGUGGUGCUUCUUGGUAUUAAGUUAUCGAGGAGAUAGCCGCUCAUCGUUUACUGUGAGAAAAUUAGAGUGUUCAAAGCAGGCUUAUGCCGUUGAAUAUAUUAGCAUGGAAUAAUAAGAUAGGGCCUCGGUACUAUUUUGUUGGUUUGAGAACCAAGGUAAUGAUGAAUAGGGACAGUUGGGGGUAUUCGUAUUCAGUUGUCAGAGGUGAAAUUCUUAGAUUUACUGAAGACGAACUACUGCGAAAGCAUUUACCAAGGAUGUUUUCA